rnacentral:rRNA from 1 species
UACGAAGGACCCGAGCGUUAUCCGGAUUUAUUGGGUUUAAAGGGUGCGUAGGCGGAUUAGUAAGUCAGGUGUGAAAGCCCCGGGCUCAACCUGGGAAUUGCAUUUGAGACUGAAUAGCUAGGGUGCGGAAGAGGGAAGCGGAAUUUCCGGUGUAGCGGUGAAAUGCGUAGAUAUCGGAAGGAACACCAGUGGCGAAAGCGGCUUCCUGGUCCAGCACCGACGUUCAGGCACGAAAGCGUGGGGAGCAAACAGG